GACGAACGCUGGCGGCGUGCUUAACACAUGCAAGUCGAGCGGUAAGGCCCUUUCGGGGGUACACGAGCGGCGAACGGGUGAGUAACACGUGGGUGACCUGCCCUCAGCUCUGGGAUAAGCCUGGGAAACCGGGUCUAAUACUGGAUAUGACUCCAUGACGCAUGUUGUGGGGUGGAAAGCCUUGUGCGGCUGAGGAUGGGCCCGCGGCCUAUCAGCUUGUUGGUGGGGUGANGGCCUACCAAGGCGACGACGGGUAGCCGGCCUGAGAGGGCGACCGGCCAC
rnacentral:rRNA from 1 species